UCCGGACAUUUUAGGUCCCCACUAUAACCAUGCCCAUCCCCCACUCUGCUUGCACAUGUGAAAGCAUGCUGUUAGCUAACUGCUGGCUAAUGAAAAGGAGGCGUUGAAUUUAUCCACCCCUUCAGUAUUGGCCAGGCUUCCAUGAACACAUAAAGCUAUAAAACCAUUACAGGAGCAUCAGUCUGUCAACAGUAGUCAGCAUUUACAACUCCCUAAUUAGUUUCACCUACAAUAAUGAUUAGGUUUCUUCCUGCACAAUCAAAAAGGUAUGUGAAAAAGAAUUUAAGUGAGACUGCCACGCUGGUGUGCGCUCGAGUUUAGAUCGAGCGCUCCCUUUCAACAUGAACACCUGCAGAGCGGUAGCAGUGGCAGACCCACACUGUGCCUCACGAAGAGUAGACAUGCGGCGGAGAACCAAGUAAAAUGGAGAGUGAGCAGAGUUCCGGAUCUGAUGACGAAUCUAAAUGUGAAGGGAGAGCUGCGGCUCAUGAAGUGCAGCGUGCCUCCUUGGAUGAGUCUGUGUCUCCCAGGUCAGAUACUGAAGUUUCUCCAAGCAAAAUAUUGAACCCCGGAUGGCCUCCCAACCUACUCCUCACUUGAAGACAGUCAUCACAUUCAGCGUUUGAAGAAACUGACAGCUCAUCAUGAUAAAUGUGAGCGCAGUUUUGAGAAGGCUUAUGCAAUGCAGACAAAGGAGGAGCAGGACAGAACAUUAACGUUGCAUCAUCAACUGAACAUGAAGGGUCAUCAUCUGAAAGUGAAGAUACCAUCACCCUUAAUGAAACUCCACCUGAUGUGAUCCAAGAUGACAGCGUUCCUAUGCUCACAAGAACCCAAAGUGUAAUUGUAAGUUUGUCUUCAAAUGUUAAUGUAUAAUCUCAGUUAGGGUUGUCACGGUGUGAAAAUUGAACCUCACGGUUAUUGUGACCAAAAUUAUCACGGUUUUCGGUAUUAUCGCAGUAUUUUUUAAACGUGUUACAUUUUCAGACAACUAAAUAAACCCUGUAUAUCAGGAAAAUAUUGUCCUCAGUUUGUGUCUAUAUGUUGCCUAAAAUUUGUUAUUUUGUAAUUAUGUUGUUUAUUUGUUUACAUUUUUCCCCUUUAGUCUUUAAAAUACAAAUAGUUGCCCAUAACUUUUUAUUUUUUGUCUGUUGGAUGUCAUCAUUUUAAAAAAUAUUAGAUCAGAUGAUACUCAGUACUCAAGUAGCCUUCUAAUCAGAUUCUCCAAUAGCAUAUUUACCUUUAUCUAAUGUAUUAAUUAUUCCAUUGGUUGCUUCCAUUAUUGCAAGUGCUGUUGUCCUCUUUUCUCUGAAUCCGUACUGACUAUGGUUUAGUAUUUCGUGUUUAUUUAAAACGUUUUCUAGUCUGAUAUUAAAUAGUUUUUCCAGGAUUUUUGAAAAUUGAGGAAGAAGUGAUGCUGGCCUGUAGUUGUUAAAUAGAUGUUUAUUCCCUUGCUUAAAAAUUGGUAUUACUUUAGCUACUUUCAUUUUCUGAGGAAAUAAACCAGUUUGG